rnacentral:rRNA from 1 species
CUACGGGUGGCUGCAGUGGGGAAUUUUGCGCAAUGGGCGAAAGCCUGACGCAGCGACGCCGCGUGAGUGAUGAAGGCCUUCGGGUUGUAAAGCUCUGUGGGGAGGGAAGAAUAAGGCAUGGUUAAUACCCAUGUCGAUGACGGUACCUCCUUAGCAAGCACCGGCUAACUCUGUGCCAGCAGCCGCGGUAGGACAGAGGGUGCGAACGUUGUUCGGAAUUACUGGGCGUAAAGCGCGUGUAGGCGGCUAUGCAAGUCGGGUGUGAAAGCCCUGGGCUUAACCUAGGAAGUGCACUCGAAACUGCAUAGCUCGAGUCCCGGAGAGGAUGGUGGAAUUCUGAGUGUAGAGGUGAAAUUCGUAGAUAUUCAGAGGAACACCGGUGGCGAAGGCGGCCAUCUGGACGGGUACUGACGCUGAGACGCGAAAGCGUGGGUAGCAAGCAGGAUUAGAUACCCGUGUAGUC